GACGAACGCUGGCGGCGCGCUUAACACAUGCAAGUCGAGCGAAGCGGCGGACGGGUGAGUAACACGUGAGUAACCUGCCUUAGACAUUGGGAUAGCCUCGGGAAACCGGGAUUAAUACCAAAUGGUCUAAGAUGGACUCGCGUCCCAUUAGCUCGUUGGUGAGGUAACGGCCCACCAAGGCGACGAUGGGUAGCCGGAAGGAGAGGGGGAACGGGAAAAUUGGAACUGAGAAACGGUCAAAACUUGACGGGAGGAAGCAGUGGGGAAUAUUGAACAAUGGAGGGAACUCUGAGGCAGCGAGGCCGCGGGAACGAAGAAGGCUUUCGAGUCGUAAAGUUCUUUUAUAUGGGAAGCGGUACCAUAAGAAAAAGCCCCGGCUAACUACGUGCCAGCAGCAGCGGUAAUAC
rnacentral:rRNA from 1 species